rnacentral:tRNA from 1 species
GGGCGCGUAGCUCAGAUGGUUAGAGCGCUACCUUGACAAGGUAGAGGUCGUAGGUUCGAUCCCUAUCGUGCCCACCA